UUGAUAUUCCAGUACCACCAUGUUCGCGACCGUUCCAAUACUUUGUUGCUAAGGGGCUGUGUUGACUUCGGUCAACACGAACCGACCCACAUUGUUGCGGAAAGCUAUAGGGGGACGCAGGAAGGUAGAUGAACCCGGUGAAUGGUAGAACCGGGGUAAGCGUGUAGGAGGAGGACCAGGCAAAUCCGGGCCUCACAUACUCUGAGACGUGAUACCGAGCCGCUUCAGGCGAAGUCAUUAAUCCUAUGCUGCCUAGAAAAGCCCAGUAGCGAGUUGACAUGGUGCCCGUACCCCAAACCAACACAGGUGGACAGGUAGAGCAUACCAAGGCGAGUGGGAUAACCAUGGUUAAGGAACUCGGCAAAUUUCCUCCGUAACUUCGGGAUAAGGAGGACCCCAGUAGCGUGACGAGACUUGCUCUCUGAGCGUGAAGGGGUGGCACAAAAUUGAGGGAAGCGACUGUUUACCAAAAACACAGCAGCGUGCUAAGCCGUAAGGCGCUGUAUACGCUGUGACUCCUGCCCGGUGCUGGAAGGUUACGGGGAUGGGUUAGUCCUUCGGGACGAAGCUCUGAACCUAAGCCCCAGUAAACGGCGGCCGUAACUAUAACGGUCCUAAGGUAGCGAAAUUCCUUGUCGGGUAAGUUCCGACCUGCACGAAUGGAGUAACGACUUCCCUACUGUCUCAACCAUAGACCCAGCGAAAUUGAAGUACGAGUAAAGAUGCUCGUUAGCUGCAGAAGGACGGAAAGACCCCGCGGACCUUUACUAUAACUUGAUGAUGUGUUUUGUCAUAUGUUGUGUAGGAUAGGUGGGAGACAAGGAAGCAUGGACGCUAGUCUGUGUGGAGUCAUCGUUGAAAUACCACCCUGCAUAUGGUGAGGCUCUAACCUAGACCCGUUAUCCGGGUUGGGGACAGCGUCAGGCGGGUAGUUUAACUGGGGCGGUUGCCUCCUAAAGAGUAACGGAGGCGCCCAAAGGUUCCCUCAGCCUGGUUGGCAACCAGGCGUCGAGUGCAAUGGCAAAAGGGAGCUUGACUGCGAGACCUACAAGUCGAGCAGGAGCGAAAGCUGGGCAUAGUGAUCCGGCGGUUGCGUGUGGAAGCGCCGUCGCUCAACGGAUAAAAGGUACCCCGGGGAUAACAGGCUAAUCUUGCCCAAGCGUCCAUAGCGACGGCAAGGUUUGGCACCUCGAUGUCGGCUCAUCGCAUCCUGGGGCUGAAGCAGGUCCCAAGGGUUGGGCUGUUCGCCCAUUAAAGCGGUACGCGAGCUGGGUUCAGAACGUCGUGAGACAGUUCGGUCCCUAUCCUCUGUAGCCGUAGGUGAAUUGAGGAAAGCUGUCCCUAGUACGAGAGGACCGGGACGGACGCAGCUCUCGUGUGCCAGUUGUCCUGCCAAGGGCAUGGCUGGUUAGCGACCUGCGGAAAGGAUAACCGCUGAAAGCAUCUAAGCGGGAAGCCUCUUCCGAGAUGAAUUCACCCACAGGGUUAACCUGGUAAGGCCCGUGGUAGACCACCACGUUGAUAGGCCGGAAGUGUAAGCGUGGCAACACGUUCAGCUGACCGGUACUAAUCGG
rnacentral:rRNA from 1 species